rnacentral:rRNA from 1 species
AUCUACCACCAUACCCCCCCGAACAUGCCUGAUCUCAUCCAUUCUCGGAAGCUAAGCAGGGUCCAGCCUGGUUGGUACUUGGAUGAGAGAUA